AAGUCGUAACAAGGUCUCCGUAGGUGAACCUGCGGAGGGAUCAUUACACAAAAUAUGAAGGCCAGGCUGCCUCGGCUCCCUGGCUGAAUUAUUUCACCCAUGUCUUUUGCGCACUUGUUGUUUCCUGGGCGGGUUCGCCUGCCACCAGGACCAAACCAUAAACCUUUUUUUAUUGCAAUCAGCGUCAGUAUAACAAUGUAAUUAUUACAACUUUCAACAACGGAUCUCUUGGUUCUGGCAUCGAUGAAGAACGCAGCGAAAUGCGAUACGUAGUGUGAAUUGCAGAAUUCAGUGAAUCAUCGAAUCUUUGAACGCACAUUGCGCCCUUUGGUAUUCCAAAGGGCAUGCCUGUUCGAGCGUCAUUUGUACCCUCAAGCUUUGCUUGGUGUUGGGCGCUUGUCUCUCCUCUUUUUGGGGGAGACUCGCCUUAAAACGAUUGGCAGCCGGCCUACUGGUUUCGGAGCGCAGCACAUUUUUGCGCUUUCCACCAGCAAAAGAGGACGGCAAUCCAUCAAGUCUACAUUAUCACUUUUGACCUCGGAUCAGGUAGGGAUACCCGCUGAACUUAA
rnacentral:rRNA from 1 species